AACGCUGGCGGCACGCCUAACACAUGCAAGUCGAACGGACUUAAACGGAGCUUGCUCUGUUUAAGUUAGUGGCGGACGGGUGAGUAACACGUGAGCAACCUGCCUUUCUGAGGGGGAUAACGUUUGGAAACGAACGCUAAUACCGCAUAACAUAUAUUUAUCGCAUGAUAGAUAUAUCAAAGGAGCAAUCCGCAGAAAGAUGGGCUCGCGUCUGAUUAGCUAGUUGGUGAGGUAAUGGCUCACCAAGGCAACGAUCAGUAGCCGGACUGAGAGGUUGAACGGCCACAUUGGGACUGAGACACGGCCCAGACUCCUACGGGAGGCAGCAGUGGGGAAUAUUGCACAAUGGGGGAAACCCUGAUGCAGCGAUGCCGCGUGGAGGAAGAAGGUUUUCGGAUUGUAAACUCCUGUCUUCAGGGACGAUAAUGACGGUACCUGAGGAGGAAGCACCGGCUAACUACGUG
rnacentral:rRNA from 1 species